CCCCGAAUAUAAGCCCCCUGAAUAUAUAAGUUCCCCGAAUAUAAGCCCAAUGGCCGACUACGUUAUUCAACAUUGACAUUGUCUUUUAAUAUAGCAGAGAACGAUAUUUAAAAAAAUUGUCGUUGUCUUUAUACAUGUAGCUUACUAUGUUAAUCAAAGUGCGUUAUUAAAACAUGUUUAUUUUCCUGUUUAUGACUGACCUAUUUAUGUCUGACAUGUUUAUUAUUAACACAAAAUAUCGUCCAUGUAUUAG